GGGGAAUAUUGGACAAUGGGCGAAAGCCUGAUCCAGCCAUGCCGCGUGUGUGAAGAAGGUCUUCGGAUUGUAAAGCACUUUAAGUUGGGAGGAAGGGUUGUAGAUUAAUACUCUGCAAUUUUGACGUUACCGACAGAAUAAGCACCGGCUAACUUCGUGCCAGCAGCCGCGGUAAUACGAAGGGUGCAAGCGUUAAUCGGAAUUACUGGGCGUAAAGCGCGCGUAGGUGGUUCGUUAAGUUGGAUGUGAAAGCCCCGGGCUCAACCUGGGAACUGCAUCCAAAACUGGCGAGCUAGAGUACGGUAGAGGGUGGUGGAAUUUCCUGUGUAGCGGUGAAAUGCGUAGAUAUAGGAAGGAACACCAGUGGCGAAGGCGACCACCUGGACUGAUACUGACACUGAGGUGCGAAAGCGUGGGGAGCAAAC
rnacentral:rRNA from 1 species